UAACUCAUCUGGAAACCCCACAAUGUUCUUUUACUAACCUCAGAUGGUGUUAAGAGGUGUUGCAUGGACGUGUGUUGGGAGCAGAGAGGUUGGAUGAGCAACCCACCUGCCAUGAAGCCACGUCUCUUCUGGUUUGCCCCUGACAAGCGAGUCUGGUGCCUCUAAACACCCCUACCUUGAACCGUGCCUUCGGCUGUUCCAAAGCUUGGAGGGAAACCCCAAUGCCUCCACAACCUGUCCAGGCUGGAGCUCCAGUGUGUGCGGGAUGCUCCCGAGAAGGGCCCCUGCCUUCCCUGCGUGCCCAGCUCAGCCUCCCGCCUGCGGACUCAGAUGGAAAUGGCUUGGAUUUGAAUCAUGGCUCUGCCUCUUGCCAGCUGGGUGAAUUUAGCUUUGUCAUCUGAAAAUUUGAGAGCCCGCUUCCCAAACCUCCAUCACCAUUUGGCACUAACUUCGUUUUUAUAUCUCAUCUCCUAAUGGAUUUAAAGAAGUUUGUGGGUAAAAAAAACUUCCAUGCUUUAUGGUAUCCUCUACCAUAGUAGCUUUUA